CUCUGUGAUCCCGAGUUUAUGAGCAAGAGAAAGUCACAAGUGCUGGUUCCUUUUCUUGGAUACCAAGUUGUUACCAGAAUCAAAGAAGAGAACCUCACUUCAAUACUCAAACUGACGAGACCAUUUGGUUAACGGGAGUAAACUUACUCUUACGUUUCAAAUUUGUAGUGUUGGACUGUUGCUAGUGUUUACUUGUAUAGUCUCUGUUUCUGACUUUCUGUAUUUAAG
rnacentral:lncRNA from 1 species